AACAAUAGAAAAUAGUGAAGGGGAUGGUGAGGGCUUUAUUCAGCUGGCAUCUUCUCAGGCAGGCUUGGCUGCAUCUACCUGGGGAGUCCUUGACUGGACUGGAUUAAGUAGCAAGGAAAAAAGACAUAACAUAAUAAACAACUACUUAAAGUCUCCAGAGAAUAAACAGGAGCAGGCAGAUUCUGAAGAGAUGUGAUACUUGGAAUGAUGGAUCAGCACUGGAUGAAUUUCUCACUUUUACAACUUGCAACCAGAAGGUGUUUGGAACACAUUCUAUGUCGAAGUGUGAAUUUGUGGGGCCAUCUGGACUGCAGGUCAUCCCAAAUGAGGCCAUCAAGGCUGAAGGCUGGGUGGACUAUGGUACCAAGUUUCUGUUGGAGAUCUUCUUUCUCUCUGUCUUUCUCACUCAUGGAAGAAAUAAGUAAAUCAAAUUUAAAAAAACAAAAUGAUGA